rnacentral:rRNA from 1 species
UACGUAGGUGGCAAGCGUUGUCCGGAUUUACUGGGCGUAAAGAGCGCGCAGGCGGUCGUUCAAGUCGCGUGUGAAAGCCCCCGGCUCAACUGGGGAGGGUCACGCGAUACUGAUCGACUCGAAGGCAGGAGAGGGUAGUGGAAUUCCCGGUGUAGUGGUGAAAUGCGUAGAUAUCGGGAGGAACACCAGUGGCGAAGGCGACUACCUGGACCGGUUCUGACACUGAGGAGCGAAAGCGUGGGGAGCGAUCCGG